rnacentral:ncRNA from 1 species
UUAAAGGCAGUGAAGAGGAGUAGUAGUCGUUGUGGCUUUCCAGAGAGCCGGUGGGUGGUGCGAACCGGUAAGCGCAGACGAUGAACUCGCCUUGGAGCCGUUCCAGUGAAGGGUAGUCAGCUAGCUGGAGCCGUUCUCCCGCGUUAAGGGUGACAGAGGUCUGUCAUGCAGAUAACGACAGAUGAACUAGGGUGGUACCGCGAACGCACAUGAUGCCUUCGCCCCUUGC